UGGGAAGCUUCAAAAACUACAUCAAUGUUGGUUUCGGCGUUCCUUGGUGCUUCGGAACGGCAAACAGCGACAAACAAGACUUCGAUUAACAGCGAGAGUCUGCUGAAUGGUGAAAAGUCCAUGAAUGGCUGGUUCUGCUCAAACGAUGCUUGUGGGUGGGAGGAUGCUCUUUUAAGAGUUCUCUCACGAUUGUGGGUGGAAGGAUGCUCCU
rnacentral:lncRNA from 1 species